GUGGGGAAUUUUGGACAAUGGGCGCAAGCCUGAUCCAGCAAUGCCGCGUGCAGGAAGAAGGCCUUCGGGUUGUAAACUGCUUUUGUACGGAACGAAACGGUCCGGGUUAAUACCCUGGGCUAAUGACGGUACCGUAAGAAUAAGCACCGGCUAACUACGUGCCAGCAGCCGCGGUAAUACGUAGGGUGCAAGCGUUAAUCGGAAUUACUGGGCGUAAAGCGUGCGCAGGCGGUUAUGUAAGACAGGCGUGAAAUCCCCGGGCUCAACCUGGGAAUGGCGCUUGUGACUGCAAAGCUGGAGUGCGGCAGAGGGGGAUGGAAUUCCGCGUGUAGCAGUGAAAUGCGUAGAUAUGCGGAGGAACACCGAUGGCGAAGGCAAUCCCCUGGGCCUGCACUGACGCUCAUGCACGAAAGCGUGGGGAGCAAACAGGAUUAGAUACCCCAGUAGUCC
rnacentral:rRNA from 1 species